AUUGAACGCUGGCGGCAGGCCUAACACAUGCAAGUCGAACGGUAACAGGAAACAGCUUGCUGUUUCGCUGACGAGUGGCGGACGGGUGAGUAAUGUCUGGGAAACUGCCUGAUGGAGGGGGAUAACUACUGGAAACGGUAGCUAAUACCGCAUGACGUCGCAAGACCAAAGAGGGGGACCUUCGGGCCUCUUGCCAUCAGAUGUGCCCAGAUGGGAUUAGCUAGUAGGUGGGGUAACGGCUCACCUAGGCGACGAUCCCUAGCUGGUCUGAGAGGAUGACCAGCCACACUGGAACUGAGACACGGUCCAGACUCCUACGGGAGGCAGCAGUGGGGAAUAUUGCACAAUGGGCGCAAGCCUGAUGCAGCCAUGCCGCGUGUAUGAAGAAGGCCUUCGGGUUGUAAAGUACUUUCAGCGGGGAGGAAGGGAGUAAAGUUAAUACCUUUGCUCAUUGACGUUACCCGCAGAAGAAGCACCGGCUAACUCCGUG
rnacentral:rRNA from 1 species